GCAAUGUGGAAGAAGUAACUAUCAAUUGAUUGGAGCCGGUGUGCAAGGUGAAGCCAAUUCACCAUUCAGGGCCUGAAUGAGCUUUGACAUCUGAAUUUAUGAAUCCAAAGUGUGCUGUCCGUGCUCUGUCACACAUACGGCAGAAAAAUAAACAGAAGGAGCAGAAGAAAAGGUCUUAAAUUACAGCCUUAAUGGGUAACAAACCGAUUUGGGUUAAACCUAUCCUAAACCAACUGUUUUCUCAAAUUUUCAUUAUGUAUCACAAUCACCUGGGAAUAUUUUUAAACUAGCAAUGCCUGGGCCUUAGCCUCAGAGAUUCUGAUUCAGUCAUUCUGGGAUGAGACCGGAGGAUCGCUACUUUUUUUUUAAGCACCUCGAAUGAAUCUAACGGGCUGACAGAGUGGAUAACCUUGGAGCUGGAGGAAACGAAACAGUAGCGCUGAAUAUGGCUCCUCUCAGAUAAGCAUAAUGAGCAACAGAGAGAGAGAUGCCAGUGCAGUUUGCUGCAUUAUGUCUCCAAGUAGGAGGCGGGGAUUUUGUUGGACUUUGAAGAUGAAGCAGGAUCUGAAUAAAUGUUGAGGGGGAGAGAAGAUUUCAGGUUGGGGAAGCAGAGCGGAUAAAAAGCACAGAAGUGAAAAGCAUUAUCAUGAGCAGAGAAGAUGCAGAGGCUGUUUCGUGUUGGGGUCUAGAAGAAAUUAGAUUGCCUAGUGUAUGGAGCUGUUGAUAUUGGCCAGCUUUUACUUUCAAGUGUUUCUUAUACUGUUCUAGACACCGGCAGUAGGAGUGUUACAAAAGCCUUCACUCUAAGUUUUAGUGGCUGAAUAAAUAACCAAUUUACUGCUUUUAAAAACAAAACGAGCUUUCAACCUGACCAAUAGAGAAGGCCUUCAUCUAGUAGGAGAUGCUGGUAACAGGGAGCUCUCUGCCUGUUCUUCUUGUUUCGAUCCCAGAAAGAACUGCACUGAGUCAAAGAUCCCAAAUUUUUGGAUCUCCACAGAGGAUAACAGGACGCUGAAGAAGAGGACCAUGUUGGAAUGUGGAAUUCCACUCAAACCUGUGCUUGGGUCCCUCUUUAUUGAUUUCUUAAGCAGCCAAAUGCCCCAUUUCUUACUAUUCCUCCUACGAACCACUGCUCUGGAAUUUGGGGUUUUAAUCCAACGACGACUGUAGAAAGAGAGUAAUUUUAAAAAUAAUGGAGUCUUACUAUUAUUAUUCAAACUUUAUGUCCAGGAACCAAAACAUCUUGGUGUAAGAUAAACGCAGGUUUCUUCCCUAAACCUGCAUUGUCUAUCAUGGAAUUCCUAGGUUCAGAUAGAG
rnacentral:lncRNA from 1 species